rnacentral:rRNA from 1 species
UACAGAGGUCCCAAGCGUUGUUCGGAUUCACUGGGCGUAAAGGGUGCGUAGGUGGUCGGGUAAGUCUGAUGUGAAAUCUCUGGGCUCAACCCAGAAACUGCAUUGGAUACUAUCCGGCUAGAGGAGUGGAGGGGGGACUGGAAUACUUGGUGUAGCAGUGAAAUGCGUAGAUAUCAAGUGGAACACCAGUGGCGAAGGCGAGUCCCUGGACACUUCCUGACACUGAGGCACGAAAGCUAGGGGAGCAAACAGG